GAGCUGUGGUGGUUUGCUGUCGUUUUUGUAGCGGAUGGAAACUGUCUGAAAGCCUUCCUCUGUGUUGUGGAUCUGCAUGACUCACUGAGACGUCUCUGUCAUUUAACGUGCUCCUUUAGAUUUAGAGGACAGCACAUACCUGGCACCAGCUCUUGUCUCCUUUUGAGAAAAAGUUCAGGAUCUGGGAAGAAGUCACGAUUACUGGUCAUCUUCAACCACUGUCCCAAAAGCGCUGUGAACAGCACACGCAUGGUGAGAAGUUGGCCAGGGCAGCACAAGCCAGGGGUCCUAGCCAAGAGAGGGGACGUUCCGGCCCUGAUCCCAGGAAUGGGGCAGGGAAAGCAUCGGGAAGUGGGGGCACUUCAGAGCCUUGAGCCCUGCUAGACAGCAGGGCCUGCGGACCAGGAAGGGCUUGGACCCAAGAUCACCUCACUGGUGACAGAAGACGCAGCACACCGUAUGGGCACAUUCCACCCUCGGAUUUGUUUUAGG
rnacentral:lncRNA from 1 species